UGUAACUUCACAGUCAAUUUCAUUGUAAAUGUAUUUGGUCCUCCACACAGCAUCAUCAACUAGUUUGCAUAAUGAGCAACCCAAUUAUUUUUAGCAUGUCAGUUCAAACCUGUUCUAUAUAGGAAUCUAAUGUAUUAAACAUAUGGAGGAGCAUACGGGGCUUCUGAAUCACAGAUUCUCAGGAUGUAAUAGUUCGCCUCUCUGAGCUGUAAUGAUGUCCAGGCUGUGGAGAUUUGACAGUUAUUAAGCAGGAUUCAAGGUGGAAUUUAAGUUCUUUACCGCAAACAAAAGGGAUGAUGCAGCAGAAACAGAAUUUCAGCAUCUGCAUUCUUUUACACUUUUAUCCGAAGCCACCGAAGAAAUGGGAUUUGAGUCUACGACAGAGAUGGGAAGGAAUGAAGUACAAAUACUUUGCUACUCACGGGAUGGACUGGCAUUAAUUGGACACAUGUCACCGGUAAAUGGAUUUCUGGGAGGUCAAGUCAACUGAGGAGUGCCAUGUUCGCAGUACCAAGACGACAGCACUCCGGCAUUCAAACGCCAACAGGUGGUCCCUUCUACGACCCCAGUGUGAGGCCCCCCGUGUGACACAGACACAAAGUUGACCUCUGUGGUCAAGGAGGGUCUGUGUGUUUGUGUGUGUGUGUGUCCGUGCGUGUGUGUGUGCGUGUGUGUGCGUGCAGGGAUUGGAGGGCAGAGCGUGAGACACUGCUGACUGCCUGUGGAGUCCUAUCUGAAGGGAACUUAGGUGAGGGGAGUUACACAUGAGCGGGAAACACCAUGUCAGCCAGACGGGAGUGUGGAUAUCAGGCAUGGAGCUGAAAAAAAAGACCCAGAUCGUCUUCAUGGCUGGAAAUAGAGACGUUCUCUCUCUGUGACCAUGUGACG